rnacentral:rRNA from 1 species
UACAGAGGGUGCAAGCGUUGUUCGGAAUUAUUGGGCGUAAAGGGUGCGUAGGCGGUGCGGUAAGUCUCUUGUGAAAUCUCCAGGCUCAACCUGGAGCCUGCAAGGGAAACUGCCGUGCUUGAGUGUGGGAGAGGUGAGUGGAAUUCCCGGUGUAGCGGUGAAAUGCGUAGAGAUCGGGAGGAACACCUGUGGCGAAGGCGGCCCCCUGGGCCGGCCCUGACACUGAGACGCGAAGGCGUGGGGAGCGAACGGG